UACGAAGGGGCCAGCGUUGCUCGGAAUUACUGGGCGUAAAGGGCGCGUAGGCGGACAGUUUAGUUAGAGGUGAAAGCCCAGGGCUCAACCUUGGAAUUGCCUUUGAUACUGGCUGUCUUGAGUUCGGGAGAGGUGAGUGGAAUGCCGAGUGUAGAGGUGAAAUUCGUAGAUAUUCGGCGGAACACCAGUGGCGAAGGCGACUCACUGGCCCGAUACUGACGCUGAGGUGCGAAAGCGUGGGGAGCAAACAGG
rnacentral:rRNA from 1 species